rnacentral:misc_RNA from 1 species
GAUGAAGAACGCAGCGAAAUGCGAUAAGUAAUGUGAAUUGCAGAAUUCAGUGAAUCAUCGAAUCUUUGAACGCAUCUUGCGCUCCUUGGUAUUCUGAGGAGCAUGCCUGUUUGAGUGUCAUUAAAUUCUCAACUACACUGACUUUGAAUUGGUGUGGCUUGGAUUUGGGGGGAAAAUUGUUGUGGGCUUUUUGUAUAGUCUGCUCCCCUGAAAUUGAUUAGCGGUACCUUUGUGGAACUGUCUACAGGUGUGAUAAUUAUCUACAUCUUAGACAUCUGCUGGAAUGCUGCUCUCUAAACCUGACUUGUAUUGACAAUCUUGACCUCAAAUCAGGUAGGACUACCCGCUGAACUUAAGCAUAUCAAUAAGCGGAGGA